rnacentral:piRNA from 3 species
UCCGCGUAACGUACGAGAGAUCAUGGU